rnacentral:lncRNA from 1 species
ACCAGUUAGGAAGGACCUUGGCCAACUUCUACGUGGAUCACCAUUGGAGGACUUCUACUUUGAAGUCUUAUGGAGAACAUUAAUGUGCCACUUCUUUCUUUUUAAUAAAAGUAAAAAUUCUAUCUCUUUUGCAUGCUUGUUUUUGUUUUAUCGAUUUCGACAAGGUGAUUCUAGGGUUUGGAUUCUGGCUCGAUAGUUUUAUUUGAUAAAGCUAUUGACUUGUUUGAUUUUAAAAUUUUAAAUAAUCACUUUUCGCUGC